CUAAGCUUAUGGACUUAGCACCUGAGACUGCAAUAUUAUUGACUCUAGAUGAUGAAGGAAAUGUGAUUAAUGAAGAAGAGAUUGACGGCCGGAUGAUACAAAAGAACGAUGUGAUUAAAAUCAUCCCUGGUGCAAAAGUAGCUUCAGAUGGUUUUGUCAUAUGGGGUCAGAGCCAUGUCAAUGAAAGCAUGAUAACAGGAGAAGCGCGACCAGUGGCAAAGAGGAAAGGUGAUCCAGUGAUUGGAGGUACUGUGAAUGAGAAUGGAGUAUUGCAUAUUAAGGC
rnacentral:misc_RNA from 1 species